rnacentral:rRNA from 1 species
GACGAACGCUGGCGGCGUGCUUAACACAUGCAAGUCGAACGGAAAGGCCGUGCGUUUGUGGGGUGCUCGAGUGGCGAACGGGUGAGUAACACGUGAGUAACCUGCUCUUGACUUUGGGAUAACUUCAGGAAACUGGGGCUAAUACCGGACAGGAGCUCCUGCUGCGUGGAGGGGGGUGGAAAGUUUCGGCGGGCGGGGAUGGACGCGCGGCUGAUCAGCUGGUUGGUGGGGGAGUGGCCCACCAAGGCGUGGACGGGUAGCUGGCCUGAGAGGGGGAUUGGCCACACUGGGACGGAGACACGGCCCAGAUUGCUACGGGGGGCAGCAGCGGGCAAUAUUGGACAAUGGGCGCGAGCCUGAUCCAGCCAUACCGCGUGGGUGAAGAAGGCCUCCGGGUGGGAAAGCCCGUUUGUUGGGAAAGAAAAGCAGCAGGCUAAUACCCCGCUGUUCUGACGGUACCCAAAGAAUAAGCACCGGCUAACUUCGUG